rnacentral:rRNA from 1 species
AUUGAACGCUGGCGGCAGGCCUAACACAUGCAAGUCGAGCGGAGCGGCGGACGGGUGAGUAAUGCCUAGGAAUCUGCCUGGUAGUGGGGGAUAACGUUCGGAAACGGGCCCUACUACCGCAUACUCUCAGAUGAGCCUAGGUCGGAUUAGCUAGUUGGUGGGGUAAAGGCCUACCAAGGCGCCGAUCCGUAACUGGUCUGAGAGGAUGAUCAGUCAUAGUGGAACUGGGACGCGGUGCAGACUCCUACGGGAGGCAGCUGUGGGGAAUAGAGGGCAAUGGGCGAGAGCCUGUGACAGCCAUGCCGCGUGUGUGAAGAGGAUCUUCGGAUUGUAAAGUACUUUAAGUUGAGAGGCGUUACCAACAGGAUAAACACCGGCUAACUUCGUGCCAGCAGCCGCGGUAAUAC